CUGGGUGUAGCGCAAUGGAAGCGCUCCUGAUUUGGGAUCAGGAGGUUGUCAGUUCGAGCCUGACCACUCAGA
rnacentral:tRNA from 1 species